GUUGCUGCUAUAGAGAUAUAUCCAAAUUCACGAGGGAUCAACCGAUUCUCGCUGUUUUCUGUGAGCCGGGUGUGGCAAAAGUGAAUGUCAUCUGUUGGAUUGCAACACAGAUAAUGAAUAAGGAGAGUUUAAGCCGUUUGAUAAUUGUAGUACAAAAUCUCCUUAUGGGGGAGAAAUGAGACCACUAACUUAGAAGAAAAUAACAAAAAAAUUCAUACGAUGAGGCUGUUGUGCUAUUUGUCAAGGUUCUCUUGCAAUUGAUGUAGAAGUGAUCUUUACUUUUAUAAAGGGUACUUUAGAGUGACCUUAGAGAUUUGGUUGGGAGUUGAUGUAUGACACCAUGGUUUGAUUUAUAUUUUGAUUUGUAUCUUAUGGAGGAAAAGAGGUAUUUUAUGUCUCAUGUGUAGACUUUUUGUAUAUACCUUUUUUAUUUGUAAUAUACUAACAUUUCAUGAUGGUUCUAUUUCUAUUGCUCCUCAAUUGAAAGAGGUUGAUAAA